GAUGAACGCUGGCGGCGUGCCUAAUACAUGCAAGUCGAGCGAACGGACGAGAAGCUUGCUUCUCUGAUGUUAGCGGCGGACGGGUGAGUAACACGUGGAUAACCUACCUAUAAGACUGGGAUAACUUCGGGAAACCGGAGCUAAUACCGGAUGAUAUUUUGAACCGCAUGGUUCAAAAGUGAAAGACGGUCUUGCUGUCACUUAUAGAUGGAUCCGCGCUGCAUUAGCUAGUUGGUAAGGUAACGGCUUACCAAGGCAACGAUGCAUAGCCGACCUGAGAGGGUGAUAGGCCACACUGGAGCUGAGACACGGUCCAGACUCCUACGGGAGGCAGCAGUAGGGAAUCUUCCGCAAUGGGCGAAAACCUGACGGAGCAACGCCGCGUGAGUGAUAAAGGUCUUCGGAUCGUAAAACUCUGUUAUUAGUGAAGAACAUAUGUGUAAGUAACUGUACACAUCUUGACGGUACCUAAUCAGAAAGCCACGGCUAACUACGUG
rnacentral:rRNA from 1 species